AUUGAACGCUGGCGGCAUGCCUUACACAUGCAAGUCGAACGGCAGCACGGGAGCAAUCCUGGUGGCGAGUGGCGAACGGGUGAGUAAAGUAUCGGAACGUGCCCAGUCGUGGGGGAUAACGUAGCGAAAGUUACGCUAAUACCGCAUACGAUCUAUGGAUGAAAGCGGGGGAUCGCAAGACCUCGCGCGAUUGGAGCGGCCGAUAUCAGAUUAGGUAGUUGGUGGGGUAAAGGCUCACCAAGCCGACGAUCUGUAGCUGGUCUGAGAGGACGACCACCACACGCGGGCUGAGACACGGCCCAGACUCCUACGGGAGGCAGCAGUGGGGAAUUUUGGACAAUGGGCGAAAGCCUAAUCCAGCCAUGCCGCGUGCAGGAUGAAGGCCUUCGGGUUGUAAACUGCUUUUGUACGGAACGAAAAGGUUUGGCCUAAUAAGCUGAGCUCAUGACGGUACCGUAAGAAUAAGCACCGGCUAACUACGUGCCAGCCGCCGCCGUAA
rnacentral:rRNA from 1 species